ACUGCGCGUGGGGGGAGAGGAGAAGGAGCUGCUGCGUGUGAUGAUAUUAGUGGGGAGGGGAUUGCCGGACCCCGGCUGACUCUGUCUGCGCGGUCGCUGCUUCUGCGGUUGGAGGAUUCGUGGCAGCUGCAGAGCAACCGACUGAGGGUAACGUGGACUGGAGGAAAAGGCAUCCAUGGUCAGAGGAUCCCAUGGGGCUCUUAAGGGAGGCAAUGGCAAAAGCAGAGUUGCACUGAUGUAGCACACCCCACCCUUUGGAUAUACAUAAAGAUACAGAUGAAUUCAUGCAUGGAAAUAUAGAUGUAUUCAAGCACUUAUGCCUGAUGGAAAGGUGGAACUCCACGUGGUAUUCUAAAGAUAGCUGUUUUGCAGAUCUAUAUCACAGCUAUUAUUAACCUAAAACAAGUCAGCCCUUUUUCCUAGACCUACAGCAGAGAAAUGGGAUAAUGAAGGAAGACAAAGCAUAACAAUCCAGAUCUUGAUUUGUUCCAAGCAUAUAGAUGGACUUCUUUCAAGCAUAUAAAGAACUGAAGAUCCUGAAGGAUGGUAAAUUUUCAACUCUUGUUUCAUUCACCAUAUACUUUUUGUGCUAUGAACCGGUAUGUUGUCUGUGAAGCACACAUUUAAUCCUUUUUUAAUAGAAUUACAUGCAUUUUUGUUUUUCCUCCUUGUGUAAAAAUAUUGUUUGGUAUUUAUAAAUAGAUGUAAUAUUGCUCCUUUACCAUUAUUUGCGAGCAUCUAUUGGUGCUUUGUCUUUUUUACAGACUCCUCAAUUUCUGGUUCAUAUUGUUGAAAGUCGGGAUUGUUGGAAACUCUUGUCAAUUUCACGAGUACCCGGAGAACCCAAAAUUUAGUAAUGAAAUUGAUAUGCUUGUCUUCUAAGCUUGUCACUUCUGGAAGCCUGGAGGCAGAGGUGGAUGAAAGUAAUCCUUCUCAGAGGUCACUGGAGACUUGAGACUACCAGGGAUUUACACAAAUAAAUCAAAGUAAAUGCUGCCUAUUUUGUAUCAUCAUCCACUGUAAUGGCUGAUGGCUAUCCAAAAUGUACAGUGCAGCCUCCAGAGAUCUAAAUUGCUCAUCCCUGCUGUAAGCCAGGUGAAAUGAUUGCUUAGCACAAUAAGUGAAGUUAGUUACUGUAGCCAAUGUAGUUAUUGUGAGUCACUGGACCCUGUUCUUCACUGUCCAAAUUAAAACAGUGGGGAAAUUGCUUAUUCAUAAUGUAUUUAAAAUAAGCAAAUGGAUUAUAAUUUCAACUGUGCAUUAAAUGAGGUGGGAUAAGAUUCCUAAUGAUUGAAAUUCUUGUAAAUGUAUGUGUGAUUUCAGCCUGGGUAUGUUGUUUUUUUGAGUUCCCUGUAAAAUGGAGUCUGAAAUAAUAAGGCUGACUACAUUAGAAUUAGACCCUUCUUUUUUUCGCUUUGUACCUUUAAUGUAUAAGUAAGCUCAUGAUGUGCUUUUUUGUGCUUUAAUUAGGUUUGGAAAGAUGUGCACAUUCUAGAUAAGUACAUGAAACAAAACCUAAUUCAUUCCAGUUUUCUCAUUUGUUUCUUAUUUUGCAUCACAAUUUUCCACUCAAAUAGUGAGCACACAACUGUGUGCAUACAUUAGAGAAAGUGCUUACAAACCAUGUAUAAUAAAUCAAAUUGCAUACAAAAAACGUGGGUUAAAAGAAAACUGUUCAUCAAUAUGCCAAUUCUCCUGAUGUAAUUUUGUUAAGUAAUUUGGAGUUGGCUGUAGAAACUGAA